rnacentral:rRNA from 1 species
AUUGAACGCUAGCGGGAUGCUUUACACAUGCAAGUCGAACGAGUGGCGGACGGGUGAGUAAUAUAUCGGAACGUGCCCAGUCGCGGGGGAUAACUACUCGAAAGAGUGGCUAAUACCGCAUACUAUUGGAGCGGCCGGUAUCGGAUGAGCUAGUUGGUGGGGGAAAGGCUCACCAAGGCAACGAACCCUAGCUGGUCUGAGAGGAUGAUCAGCCACACUGGGACUGAGACACGGACCAGACGCCCACGAGAGGCAGCAGUGGGGAAUAUUGCACAAUGGGCGAAAGCCUGAUGCAGCCAUGCCGCGUGUAUGAAGAAGGCCCUAGGGUUGUAAAGUACUUUCAGGCGGGAGGCGUUACCGACAGAAGAAGCACCGGCUAACUCCGUGCCAGCAGCCGCGGUAAUUC